UUGGGGUUUUGAAAAUAAAUUUUGAUUCAUCUGUUGUUGAGCACAAAGUGACUGCAGGUUAUGUUAUUAAAAAUCAUGAUGCGUUCAUGCUGCGAGUUGGAGAUAAGGUACUUCCUCAUCUAUCCGUUCCGUUUGCAGAAUUAAUGACUCCAUGGCUUGCAAUUAAGGUAGCCAUAGAGGAGCUUCAUGCUAUCUGAACCUGGGUAGAGGGGGAUUCUGCUACUGUAGUGUCUUGGUUAAACAAUUCCUC
rnacentral:lncRNA from 1 species